GAUGAACGCUGGCGGCGUGCUUAACACAUGCAAGUCGAACGGGAAACCUUUUAUUGAAGCUUCGGCAGAUUUAGCUGGUUUCUAGUGGCGGACGGGUGAGUAACGCGUGGGUAACCUGCCUUAUACAGGGGGAUAACAACCAGAAAUGGUUGCUAAUACCGCAUAAGCGCACAGGACCGCAUGGUCCGGUGUGAAAAACUCCGGUGGUAAAAGAUGGACCCGCGUUGGAUUAGCUAGUUGGCAGGGUAACGGCCUACCAAGGCGACGAUCCAUAGCCGGCCUGAGAGGGUGAACGGCCACAUUGGGACUGAGACACGGCCCAGACUCCUACGGGAGGCAGCAGUGGGGAAUAUUGCACAAUGGGGGAAACCCUGAUGCAGCGACGCCGCGUGAAGGAAGAAGUAUCUCGGUAUGUAAACUUCUAUCAGCAGGGAAGAUAGUGACGGUACCUGACUAAGAAGCCCCGGCUAACUACGUG
rnacentral:rRNA from 1 species